rnacentral:rRNA from 1 species
AGAGUUUGAUCCUGGCUCAGAACGAACGCUGGCGGCGUGCUUAACACAUGCAAGUCGCGUGCGCAGUCUGUAGCAAUACAGAUGGGCGCACGGCGCACGGGUGCGUAACACGUGGGCAAUCUGCCCUCCGAUGGGGAAUAACCCCGCGAAAGCGGGGCUAAUACCGCAUAACAUUCCUUGGACUACGGUUUGAGGAUUCAAAGCAGUGAUGCGUCGGAGGAGGAGCCCGCGCCCGAUUAGCUAGUUGGUGAGGUAACGGCUCACCAAGGCAAUGAUCGGUAGCUGGUCUGAGAGGAUGAUCAGCCACACUGGAACUGAGACACGGUCCAGACUCCUACGGGAGGCAGCAGUGGGGAAUCUUGCGCAAUGGGCGAAAGCCUGACGCAGCGACGCCGCGUGGGGGAUGAAGCUUUUCGGAGUGUAAACCCCUUUCGACUGGGACGAAUGCCCGCAAGGGAGUGACGGUACCAGUAGAAGAAGCCCCGGCUAACUACGUGCCAGCAGCCGCGGUAAGACGUAGGGGGCCAGCGUUGUUCGGAAUUACUGGGUGUAAAGGGUUCGUAGGCGGUGUGGCAAGUUGGGAGUGAAAUCUCUGGGCUUAACUCAGAGGCUGCUUCCAAAACUGCUGUGCUUGAGUAUGGGAGAGGCGCGUGGAAUUGCAGGUGUAGCGGUGAAAUGCGUAGAUAUCUGCAGGAACACCCGUGGCGAAAGCGGCGCGCUGGACCAUAACUGACGCUGAGGAACGAAAGCUAGGGGAGCAAACAGGAUUAGAUACCCUGGUAGUCCUAGCCCUAAACGAUCAGGACUUGGGGUGUCGCCCGUUCGGGCGUCGUCCCGGAGCUAACGCGUUAAGUCCUGCACCUGGGGAGUACGGUCGCAAGACUGAAACUCAAAGGAAUUGACGGGGGCCCGCACAAGCGGUGGAACAUGUGGUUCAUUCGACGCUACGCGAGGAACCUUACCUGGGCUCGG